rnacentral:rRNA from 1 species
UGGGGAAUAUUGCACAAUGGGCGAAAGCCUGAUGCAGCGACGCCGCGUGAGGGAUGACGGCCUUCGGGUUGUAAACCUCUUUCAGUAGGGACGAAGCGCAAGUGACGGUACCUGCAGAAGAAGCACCGGCUAACUACGUGCCAGCAGCCGCGGUAAUACGUAGGGUGCGAGCGUUGUCCGGAAUUACUGGGCGUAAAGAGCUCGUAGGCGGUUUGUCACGUCGUCUGUGAAAUCCUCGGGCUUAACCCUGGACGUGCAGGCGAUACGGGCUGACUUGAGUACUACAGGGGAGACUGGAAUUUCUGGUGUAGCAGUGGAAUGCACAGAUAUCAGGAAGAACACCGAUGGCGAAGGCAGGUCUCUGGGUAGUAACUGACGCUGAGGAGCGAAAGCAUGGGUAGCGAACAGG